UUAUUUGACUCAACGCGGGAAAUCUUACCGGGUCCGGACACACUGAGGAUUGACAGGCAAUAUCUCAUGUUUAAUAACCGUUAUUAACGUAUCGCGUUAUUUAAUACAUCGAGUGUUAAAUAUGCUAGUCCUUUCAUGAUUAUGUGAUAGGUGGUGCAUGGCCGUUCUUAGUUCGUGGAGUGAUCUGUCUGCUUAAUUGCGUUUCACUAAGGGCCCAUAAAUUCAAGGUAUGUUAGCUAUCUGUCGCUCUAUGGACCCCUUAACCGAGUUAAAUCGAGUUAAGCGCGCGUCUUUAUUUAAAGAGUUUAAGACAUUGCGCAUGCUGUUGGGCUCUGAAAGCAACGAACGUGACCGCAACGUCUUGUUGCCUUAAUAAAG
rnacentral:rRNA from 1 species